UGCCCAGGGCUACACACGUGCUACAAUGGCAUAUACAAUGAGAAGCAAUACCGCGAGGUGGAGCAAAUCUAUAAAAUAUGUCUUAGUUCGGAUUGUUCUCUGCAACUCGAGAGCAUGAAGCCGGAAUCGCUAGUAAUCGUAAAUCAGCUAUGUUACGGUGAAUACGUUCCCGGGUCUUGUACUCACCGCCCGUCACACCAUGGGAGUUGAUUGUGCUUUAAGUCGGAAUACUAAACUAGUUACCGCCCACAGCAAAAUCAGCGACUGGGGUGAAGUCGUAACAAGGUAACCGUAGGAGAACCUGCGGUUGGAUCACCUCCUUUCUAG
rnacentral:rRNA from 1 species